rnacentral:rRNA from 1 species
UACGUAGGGGGCAAGCGUUGUCCGGAAUUAUUGGGCGUAAAGAGCGCGUAGGCGGCUUUACAGGGCUGUUGUGAAAACUCGAGGCUCAACCUCGAGACGCCGGUGGAAACCGUAAAGCUAGAGUCCGGAAGAGGAGAGUGGAAUUCCUGGUGUAGCGGUGAAAUGCGCAGAUAUCAGGAGGAACACCCGUGGCGAAAGCGGCUCUCUGGGACGGUACUGACGCUGAGACGCGAAAGCGUGGGGAGCAAACAGG